rnacentral:rRNA from 1 species
AUUGAACGCUGGCGGCAUGCCUUACACAUGCAAGUCGAACGGUAACAGGUUAAGCUGACGAGUGGCGAACGGGUGAGUAAUGUAUCGGAACGUGCCCAGUCGUGGGGGAUAACUACUCGAAAGAGUGGCUAAUACCGCAUACGACCUGAGGGUGAAAGCGGGGGACCGUAAGGCCUCGCGCGAUUGGAGCGGCCGAUAUCAGAUUAGCUAGUUGGUGGGGUAAAAGCCCACCAAGGCGACGAUCUGUAGCUGGUCUGAGAGGACGACCAGCCACACUGGGACUGAGACACGGCCCAGACUCCUACGGGAGGCAGCAGUGGGGAAUUCUGGAAAAUGGACGCAAGUCUGAUCCAGCCAUGCCGCGUGCGGGAAGAAGGCCUUCGGGUUGUAAACCGCUUUUGUCAGGGAAGAAACGAGUUUCUCUAAUACAGAGACUUAAUGACGGUACCUGAAGAAUAAGCACCGGCUAACUACGUGCCAGCCGCCGCGGUAAAAC